rnacentral:rRNA from 1 species
CGAAGGGGGCUAGCGUUGCUCGGAAUUACUGGGCGUAAAGGGCGCGUAGGCGGACAGUUUAGUCAGAGGUGAAAGCCCAGGGCUCAACCUUGGAAUUGCCUUUGAUACUGAUUGUCUUGAGUUUGGGAGAGGUGAGUGGAACUCCGAGUGUAGAGGUGAAAUUCGUAGAUAUUCGGAAGAACACCAGUGGCGAAGGCGACUCACUGGCCCAAUACUGACGCUGAGGCGCGAAAGCGUGGGGAGCAAACAGGAUUAGAUACCCUGGUAGUCCACGCCGUAAACGAUGAGUGCUAGUUGUCGGCAUGCAUGCAUGUCGGUGACGCAGCUAACGCAUUAAGCACUCCGCCUGGGGAGUACGGUCGCAAGAUUA